UUGAACGCUGGCGGCAGGCCUAACACAUGCAAGUCGAACGGUAACAGGAAGAAGCUUGCUUCUUUGCUGACGAGUGGCGGACGGGUGAGUAAUGUCUGGGAAACUGCCUGAUGGAGGGGGAUAACUACUGGAAACGGUAGCUAAUACCGCAUAACGUCGCAAGACCAAAGAGGGGGACCUUCGGGCCUCUUGCCAUCGGAUGUGCCCAGAUGGGAUUAGCUUGUUGGUGGGGUAACGGCUCACCAAGGCGACGAUCCCUAGCUGGUCUGAGAGGAUGACCAGCCACACUGGAACUGAGACACGGUCCAGACUCCUACGGGAGGCAGCAGUGGGGAAUAUUGCACAAUGGGCGCAAGCCUGAUGCAGCCAUGCCGCGUGUAUGAAGAAGGCCUUCGGGUUGUAAAGUACUUUCAGCGGGGAGGAAGGGAGUAAAGUUAAUACCUUUGCUCAUUGACGUUACCCGCAGAAGAAGCACCGGCUAACUCCGUGCCAGCAGCCGCGGUAAUACGGAGGGUGCAAGCGUUAAUCGGAAUUACUGGGCGUAAAGCGCACGCAGGCGGUUUGUUAAGUCGGAUGUGAAAUCCCCGGGCUCAACCUGGGAACUGCAUCUGAUACUGGCAAGCUUGAGUCUCGUAGAGGGGGGUAGAAUUCCAGGUGUAGCGGUGAAAUGCGUAGAGAUCUGGAGGAAUACCGGUGGCGAAGGCGGCCCCCUGGACGAAGACUGACGCUCAGGUGCGAAAGCGUGGGGAGCAAACAGGAUUAGAUACCCUGGUAGUCCACGCCGUAAACGAUGUCGACUUGGAGGUUGUGCCCUUGAGGCGUGGCUUCCGGAGCUAACGCGUUAAGUCGACCGCCUGGGGAGUACGGCCGCAAGGUUAAAACUCAAAUGAAUUGACGGGGGCCCGCACAAGCGGUGGAGCAUGUGGUUUAAUUCGAUGCAACGCGAAGAACCUUACCUGGUCUUGACAUCCACAGAACUUUCCAGAGAUGGAUUGGUGCCUUCGGGAACUGUGAGACAGGUGCUGCAUGGCUGUCGUCAGCUCGUGUUGUGAAAUGUUGGGUUAAGUCCCGCAACGAGCGCAACCCUUAUCCUUUGUUGCCAGCGGUCCGGCCGGGAACUCAAAGGAGACUGCCAGUGAUAAACUGGAGGAAGGUGGGGAUGACGUCAAGUCAUCAUGGCCCUUACGACCAGGGCUACACACGUGCUACAAUGGCGCAUACAAAGAGAAGCGACCUCGCGAGAGCAAGCGGACCUCAUAAAGUGCGUCGUAGUCCGGAUUGGAGUCUGCAACUCGACUCCAUGAAGUCGGAAUCGCUAGUAAUCGUGGAUCAGAAUGCCACGGUGAAUACGUUCCCGGGCCUUGUACACACCGCCCGUCACACCAUGGGAGUGGGUUGCAAAAGAAGUAGGUAGCUUAACCUUCGGGAGGGCGCUUACCACUUUGUGAUUCAUGACUGGGGUG
rnacentral:rRNA from 1 species